AGGAUGAACGCUGGCGGUCUGCUUAACACAUGCAAGUCGAACGGGCGUAGCAAUACGUUAGUGGCGGACGGGUGAGUAACGCGUGAGAAUCUACCUUCAGGACGGAGACAACAGUUGGAAACGACUGCUAACCCCCGAUGUACUGAAAAGGCAAAUAUUUAUAGCCUGAAGAAGAGCUCGCGUCCGAUUAGCUAGUUGGAGAGGUAAAAGCUCACCAAGGCGACGAUCGGUAGCUGGUCUGAGAGGACGAUCAGCCACACUGGGACUGAGACACGGCCCAGACUCCUACGGGAGGCAGCAGUGGGAAUUUUCCGCAAUGGGCGAAAGCCUGACGGAGCAAGACCGCGUGGGGGAAGAAGGCUCUUGGGUUGUAAACCCCUUUUCUCUGGGAAGAAGUUGUGAAAGCAGCCUGACAGUACCAGAGGAAUCAGCAUCGGCUAACUCCGUGCCAGCAGCCGC
rnacentral:rRNA from 1 species